AUACGUAGGUGGCAAGCGUUAUCCGGAUUUAUUGGGCGUAAAGCGAGCGCAGGCGGUUUUUUAAGUCUGAUGUGAAAGCCCUCGGCUUAACCGAGGAAGCGCAUCGGAAACUGGGAAACUUGAGUGCAGAAGAGGACAGUGGAACUCCAUGUGUAGCGGUGAAAUGCGUAGAUAUAUGGAAGAACACCAGUUUUGGCGAAGGCGGCUGUCUGGUCUGUAACUGACGCUGAGGCUCGAAAGCAUGGGUAGC
rnacentral:rRNA from 1 species